CUCAGCGCUCCGCUCACUCACUCUCCAGGACCUGCAGGAAGUAGGGAUACUUUCAAGUUUACGUCUCAUUCAUUCUUCCUCUGGACAAUUCAGGUCCAUUCACAGCUGCGGCAGACGUGCGCGCGCGCGCGCGCACCUAUACCCUUAAAGAAACUCGAGUCACAGAAGCCAGAAAGCCAGCUUCCAAGCGGGGCAGCGGGGGUCUCACUCCUUUUUCCUCCUCUUUUUGCAAAUCCUCAGACUCCAGGGAGGGUAGGCUGUGCACUAGGGUGAGAAUGUGGGUGGUACAUGAAGCGGAAGUUAACCUUGCACAGUCUGUGGAGACGGCGGGACUCCUCACCUUCAUCCAGCCUCCUCGGUUUUCCUCUCUGGCCCAGCGUGGAGGAGGGGACGUGAAAGGCAAGAGAGGCAGGAAACAGAGACUCCGCAGUGGCCGGGCGAUGAGGGGGUGCGUGUCUGGGAGCCGCAAGGAAAGAGUGAAGAAGCUGUAUCGCACUGGGCCAGAGGCCCUCUCCUCUUGGGCUGCGCGUAGCUAGAGGUGCAGGAGGGCGGCCAGGAGUGGGACCCCGCUACGUGUCGCUCCUCCGCGCGCCACCUGCCAUCGCCCCCCGCGCCCUCGGGCCGUUGCCCCCAGCCGAGCCUGGGGCCGCGCCUUCGGGCCGGUACUUGAGCCAGCAGAUGACCCAAGUGACGACGACCGAGAAGAGCGCCAGGAUGCUGGCCACCGACAGGCAAAUGGGCCCCACCGGCGAAGGCGAGGGCGAACCGGCUGCAGGGGCUGCGCCAGGGGGCGCCCCGCCUCCAGGGGGUGCCCCGGCCCCGCCGCCGCCGUAGUGGUUGACGAAGAUGAGGCCGGUGAAGAGCAGCACCACCAUGGAGAGGAAGGAGAAGACGACACAGACGCAGCCUGCGGAGGUGCGGGCACCGCGGUCCCUCCCAGUCCCUGGGAGCCUCUCUGCCGUCCCCCUUGGGCCUCUCAAGGAAGCUUCUCUGGCCGCUGUGGAUAUUGGUUUUUGUUGGACUUGGAAUUGGGAAUUGAGGGCGACUGGGGGACGCCGGGACAGAGGGCGAUUCAGGCUGGUCCUCACCCUAAGAAGAGAGAGCCUCCCCAACCCCAAGAAGGAAGGGAAAGAGGAUGGCUCUCUGGGUCCCUGUGAGAUGGGAAUGUUCCCACUUUCUCUCUGGAUUCUCUGCAAAAGACAGCAAGAUACCCCAGGGGAUAUUGGUGGAAAAGAUGAAUGCAUAGGAAUCAAGCUGAAGGAAGAGAAAGAAGGAAAGAAAAGAAACCAGUGAAGCACAGAUGUGCAGACCAGAGGAGGAAUUGUCCUAACUAUUGUUCCUAUGACAAUUGAAAAUAAAUGUAGUUUUUACUCUG
ensembl:lncRNA